UACGGGGGGGGCAAGCGUUGUUCGGAAUUACUGGGCGUAAAGGGCUCGUAGGUGGCCAACUAAGUCGGACGUGAAAUCCCUCGGCUUAACCGGGGAACUGCGUCUGAUACUGGAUGGCUUGAGUUCGGGAGAGGGAUGCGGAAUUCCUGGUGUAGCGGUGAAAUGCGCAGAUAUCAGGAGGAACACCGGUGGCGAAGGCGGGUCUCUGGGCCGAUACUGACGCUGAGGAGCGAAAGCGUGGGGAGCAAACAGG
rnacentral:rRNA from 1 species